AUUGAACGCUGGCGGCAGGCCUAACACAUGCAAGUCGAACGAGGGGGGGCAGGGUGAGACAUGUCUGGGAAAGUGCACGAUGGGGGGGGAUCACUAGUAGAAAGGGGAUAUAAUACAGCAUACCAGAGGAUGUGCCCAGAUGGGAUGAGCUAGGAGGUGGGUUAACGGCUCACAUAGGCGAAGAUCGCGAGCUGGUCUGAGAGGAAGACCAGCCACACUGGGACUGAGACACGGUCCAGACUCCUACGGGAGGCAGCAGUGGGGAAUAUUGCACAAUGGGCGCAAGCCGGAUGCAGUCAUGCCGCGUGUAUGAAGAAGGCCUUAGGGUUGUAAAGUACUUUCAGCUAGGAGGCGUUACCCGCAGAAGAAGCACCGGCUAACUCCGUGCCAGCCGCCGCGGUAAUUC
rnacentral:rRNA from 1 species